GAUGAACGCUGGCGGCGUGCCUAAUACAUGCAAGUCGAGCGAACGGACGAGAAGCUUGCUUCUCUGAUGUUAGCGGCGGACGGGUGAGUAACACGUGGAUAACCUACCUAUAAGACUGGGAUAACUUCGGGAAACCGGAGCUAAUACCGGAUAAUAUUUUGAACCGCAUGGUUCAAAAGUGAAAGACGGUCUUGCUGUCACUUAUAGAUGGAUCCGCGCUGCAUUAGCUAGUUGGUAAGGUAACGGCUUACCAAGGCAACGAUGCAUAGCCGACCUGAGAGGGUGAUCGGCCACACUGGAACUGAGACACGGUCCAGACUCCUACGGGAGGCAGCAGUAGGGAAUCUUCCGCAAUGGGCGAAAGCCUGACGGAGCAACGCCGCGUGAGUGAUGAAGGUCUUCGGAUCGUAAAACUCUGUUAUUAGGGAAGAACAUAUGUGUAAGUAACUGUGCACAUCUUGACGGUACCUAAUCAGAAAGCCACGGCUAACUACGUGCCAGCAGCCGCGGUAAUACGUAGGUGGCAAGCGUUAUCCGGAAUUAUUGGGCGUAAAGCGCGCGUAGGCGGUUUUUUAAGUCUGAUGUGAAAGCCCACGGCUCAACCGUGGAGGGUCAUUGGAAACUGGAAAACUUGAGUGCAGAAGAGGAAAGUGGAAUUCCAUGUGUAGCGGUGAAAUGCGCAGAGAUAUGGAGGGACACCAGUGGCGAAGGCGACUUUCUGGUCUGUAACUGACGCUGAUGUGCGAAAGCGUGGGGAUCAAACAGGAUUAGAUACCCUGGUAGUCCACGCCGUAAACGAUGAGUGCUAAGUGUUAGGGGGUUUCCGCCCCUUAGUGCUGCAGCUAACGCAUUAAGCACUCCGCCUGGGGAGUACGACCGCAAGGUUGAAACUCAAAGGAAUUGACGGGGACCCGCACAAGCGGUGGAGCAUGUGGUUUAAUUCGAAGCAACGCGAAGAACCUUACCAAAUCUUGACAUCCUUUGACAACUCUAGAGAUAGAGCCUUCCCCUUCGGGGGACAAAGUGACAGGUGGUGCAUGGUUGUCGUCAGCUCGUGUCGUGAGAUGUUGGGUUAAGUCCCGCAACGAGCGCAACCCUUAAGCUUAGUUGCCAUCAUUAAGUUGGGCACUCUAAGUUGACUGCCGGUGACAAACCGGAGGAAGGUGGGGAUGACGUCAAAUCAUCAUGCCCCUUAUGAUUUGGGCUACACACGUGCUACAAUGGACAAUACAAAGGGCAGCGAAACCGCGAGGUCAAGCAAAUCCCAUAAAGUUGUUCUCAGUUCGGAUUGUAGUCUGCAACUCGACUACAUGAAGCUGGAAUCGCUAGUAAUCGUAGAUCAGCAUGCUACGGUGAAUACGUUCCCGGGUCU
rnacentral:rRNA from 1 species